GAUGAACGCUGGCGGCGUGCUUAACACAUGCAAGUCGAACGAUGAAGCCCAGCUUGCUGGGUGGAUUAGUGGCGAACGGGUGAGUAACACGUGAGUAACCUGCCCUUAACUCUGGGAUAAGCCUGGGAAACUGGGUCUAAUACCGGAUAGGAGCGUCCACCGCAUGGUGGGUGUUGGAAAGAUUUAUCGGUUUUGGAUGGACUCGCGGCCUAUCAGCUUGUUGGUGAGUUAAUGGCUCACCAAGGCGACGACGGGUAGCCGGCCUGAGAGGGUGACCGGCCACACUGGGACUGAGACACGGCCCAGACUCCUACGGGAGGCAGCAGUGGGGAAUAUUGCACAAUGGGCGAAAGCCUGAUGCAGCGACGCCGCGUGAGGGAUGACGGCCUUCGGGUUGUAAACCUCUUUCAGUAGGGAAGAAGCGAAAGUGACGGUACCUGCAGAAGAAGCACCGGCUAACUACGU
rnacentral:rRNA from 1 species